rnacentral:sRNA from 1 species
UUGCUGCAAAUGUCGGAGAAAUUGCGAC